GUACAAGGUCUCCGUUGGUGAACCAGCGGAGGGAUCAUUAUAGAGUUAUCAAAAAACUCCCAAACCCAUGUGAACAUACCCUUCGUUGCCUCGGCGGGCGCCGUCCUACCACCACCGGUGGAGGGGCGAAACCCCGCCGGCGGCCCCCGAAACUCUGUUUUUCUAUAGCAUUGGACCUCUGAAGCAAAGAUAACUAAAUCAGUUAAAACUUUCAACAACGGAUCUCUUGGUUCUGGCAUCGAUGAAGAACGCAGCGAAAUGCGAUAAGUAAUGUGAAUUGCAGAAUUCAGUGAAUCAUCGAAUCUUUGAACGCACAUUGCGCCCACCAGUAUUCUGGUGGGCAUGCCUGUUCGAGCGUCAUUUCAACCCUUAAGCCCCAGCUGCUUAGCGUUGGGAGCCUACCGGAGACCUCCUCCCGUAGCUCCCCAAAGUCAGUGGCGGAGCCGGUUUAACACUCCAGACGUAGUAGCUCAUACCACAUCGCCUGUAGCCUAAACCCGGCCCCCUGCCGUAAAACACAACGAAUAUUGUAUAGGUUGACCUCGGAUCAGGUAGGAAUACCCGCUGAACUUAAGCAUAUCAAUAAGCGGAGGAAAAGAAACCAACAGGGAUUGCCCUAGUAACGGCGAGUGAAGCGGCAACAGCUCAAAUUUGAAAUCUGGCCCUCGGGUCCGAGUUGUAAUUUGCAGAGGAUGCUUUUGGCGCGGUGCCUUCCGAGUUCCCUGGAACGGGACGCCUUAGAGGGUGAGAGCCCCGUACGGUUGGACACCAAGCCUCUGUAAAGCUCCUUCGACGAGUCGAGUAGUUUGGGAAUGCUGC
rnacentral:rRNA from 1 species